rnacentral:rRNA from 1 species
GACGAACGCUGGCGGCGUGCUUAACACAUGCAAGUCGAACGGAAAGGCCCUGCUUUUGUGGGGUGCUCGGGUGGCGAACGGGUGAGUAACACGUGAGUACCCUACCCUUCCCUUUGGGAUAACUUCAGGAAACUGGGGCUAAUACCGGAUAGGAGCUCCUGCUGCAUGGUGGGGGUGGGAUAGUUUCGGCGGUUGGGGAUGGACUCGCGGCUUAUCGGCUUGUUGGUUGGGUAGUGUCUUACCAAGGCUUUGACGGGUAGCCGGCCUGGGAGGGGGACCGGCCACAUUGGGACUGAGAUACGGCCCAGACUCGUACGGGAGGCAGCAGUGGGGAGUAUGACACAAUGGGCGGAAGCAUGAUGCAGCAACGCAGCGUGCGGGAAGACGUCCUGCGGGUUGGAAACCGCUGUCGCCUGUGACGAAGCGUGAGUGACGGUACCGGGUAAAGAAGCACCGGCUAACUACGUG